rnacentral:rRNA from 1 species
GAUGAACGCUGGCGGCGUGCCUAAUACAUGCAAGUCGAGCGAACAGACGAGGAGCUUGCUCCUCUGACGUUAGCGGCGGACGGGUGAGUAACACGUGGAUAACCUACCUAUAAGACUGGGAUAACUUCGGGAAACCGGAGCUAAUACCGGAUAAUAUAUUGAACCGCAUGGUUCAAUAGUGAAAGACGGCUUUGCUGUCACUUUUAGAUGGAUCCGCUCCGCAUUAGCUAGUUGGUAAGGUAACGGCUUACCAAGGCAACGAUGCGUAGCCGACCUGAGAGGGUGAUCAGCAACACUGGAACUGGGACACGGUCCAGACUCCUACGGGAGGCAGCAGUAGGGAAUCUUCCGCAAUGGGCAAAAGCCUGACGGAGCAACGCCGCGUGAGUGAUGAAGGUCUUCGGAUCGUAAAACUCUGUUAUUAGGGAAGAACAAAUGUGUAAGUAACUAUGCACGUCUUGACGGUACCUAAUCAGAAAGCCACGGCUAACUACGUG